GGAGAACCGGUUCUUCUAUUCAAUUCUCGCUUGAAACUCUUUCCAGGCAAGCUCAAAUCCCGGUGGUCAGGACCAUUUGUAAUCCGCAAGGUGUUCCCUUAUGGUACAGUGAAAUUAGUAGGCAAGGAUGGGUCUACCUUUUAGGCAAAUGGACAACGUCUCAAACAUUACUAUGGAGAGGAAAACUGGGAUGUGGAAGAAAUUACCCUUGAUGAACCAACUUGAAACCACAUCCACGUCCAACUAAAGACGUAAAAGAAGCGCUUAUUGGGAGGCAACCCAAGUUCUAUUUCUUAAGUUUUUUUUCAUUAUUUUGACAUGUUCUUUUCCUCUUACGCCAAUUUGAUAAGUUCCUUUUUUUUAUUUUGUAGGUCAUGCUCAAAAUGGUUGCAUCAACACUCUAAUCAAUAUGGAAAACGAGUAGGUUGGAGGUAAUAAAAAAAAAAAUUCAGUAACAUUGGCGCCAUGGCGCCCAACACAUUUUUAUCUUUGAAACAACAACACAAUUUUUUUUCUUUUCAUUUCCCUACCCACAAAACCCUUAUAUUCUUCUUUCCUCUCAAAUCUCCCCUUCUUUCCCCCACACUUGCACACACCAAUUCUCUCUCACUACCCGACAUUUAUACGUUUUUACAUCUAUAACAAUCCAUAUCUUAGAAGUGAAAGGCUAGUGACUAGUUCAUCAAAGAAGGUACAUUCCUUUACAAUGCAAAUUUUUCUUUUUUGUAGUUUAAUUUGAACUUCUUUUGGUAAUCUUGUUUAGGACUAUGUCACAAUAUCAUUUGUCUUUGUUGGGUUGUGUUUUGGUAACGCUUGUGUGGGCCUUUGUUUUAUCUUCGAAAUUAUUUUGUUAUAUGCCUACCAUGUGUUUGUUCUUUUGCCUCUUUGACAUUCUUUGCCAAUGUUGGAAUCUAUGUUAGUAGACUUUGCAAUUUCCUAUGGGCUUGAACUUUCCUAACUACUAAUAUAUUGUCUUGCUCACAGAGUGUUUGAUAAAUGUCACCAAAGACGUCUUUUGUACGAUUCUUGGGAUAGUUUUGAUGGCUUGCAUUCAACUUUGUACUUGUUUAUUAUAGUCGCCUACCACACGUUCGAUACUUUGUUUCAUUAAGAUUUUCAUGCCUACUUGGGACUCACUUCAUUUUCUAAGACAAAAUCUUUUAAUUGAUUCAGGUGGACAGUUAACUUUAGUUGAUUUUGUGCAAGAACACUUCCUCCAUGCCUCCUAAAAAGAAAUCCAAGGCCAUUGCCUCUUCCUCUACUACUGCAUUUGAUCGUUGACGAUUCAUUAGUUCUAAAGCAAAGGAACGCUAUAGACACAGUGUGGUACAUCGGAAUUGCAUUCCUGAGAGGGGCCUUGAUAAUUUUUUACCAGAUAAAAUCCACAGUUUGGGGUGGGAGAAGUUUACUAAGCAACCUAGUGCUGCAUCAAUUCCUCUGGUGAAAGAGUUCUAUGCUAACGCCAAUGAACAUGAGAACUUCAAGGUUUUUGUACGGGGUUUUUGGAUCAAGUUUGAUAGUGCCUCCAUUAACCGGUUCUACCAUACGCGGGAUAUACCCAAUGAUGACUAUUCCCGACUCUGGAAUGAGGGGAUCGAUCCUGGGGAGAUAAUUCGCACUAUAGCUCGCCUUGAUACCGAAUGGAAAGGAUCAGCUAGUGAUGUAACCCACUUCUCUUCAUUUGAUCUGACGCCCAAUUGUAAAAUUUGGCACCACUUCAUAUCAUCCAAACUGAUCCCCAGUAGCAACACUAGUGAGGUCACAAAGGAACGAGCCUUACUGAAUUUUGUGAUUCAAAAAGGAUAUUCUAUUGAUGUUGGUCGAGUCAUCCAAAAUAGUAUUCUUCGCAUCCUUACCGGGCCCGCUACAGGCAGUCUGGGUCACCCCUCUUUGAUCCAUGACCUUUGCAUACAAGGGGGUGUUCCCGUGCGCGAAACUGAUGAAGUGUUACACUCGAAACAAUCACUUACACGGGACCUCCGUGAUAGGCGUGUGGGACAUCGGGAAGUGCCUAGCUCUUCUCAAUCAUCUCGUCCGUUACCCCCUACACCAUCACCCCCACAACCUUCAGAUGCUACGGGGGACGUCUUUCGGCGUCUUGAAGCCAUGGAUUUGCGCAUGAGCCGAUGCAGGAGGGCAUGCAAGUACAAAUGAAUCAUUUACAAUCCACCAUCUUUGACCAAUUUCAAUACCAGAAUGCUUGCAUGGCGGUUAUGGCAUCUACACAUCCCGAGCUCACCUUCCCUCCACCGCCAUCACUUCCACCUCAUUCCCACCCUCCUGCUCCACCUGAUGAAGAGGAAGACGAUUGAUGUCUUCACUGAGGUAUUUCUCUUCCCCUUCUUCCAUUUUAACAUAGGGGCAAUGUGUAGUUUAAGUUUGGGGGGAGUAUCUUAAAUUUUCUAAAAUCUAAAAUUGUCUAUUUUAUUUAUUUAUUUUGUAUGAUUGUGUGCAUCUAAAAAAAAAAUAAAAAUUUAUUUCAUGUUUUGCAUGCUUGUGUGAGUUAGAUAGCUUUGCUGGCGAUGAUGUAUAAUAUUAAGAACAUGUAUUGGUUCAUGGAUUAUGGAUAAGUUACAUGUGUGAGUUAGAUUUUUGUUUAUUCGUGUGAAACGGAAAUUAUUUUUGUACGUGGGUUGAUUGUAGCGUUGUACAUAAGUAGGUUGAUCUAUAUUUAUAGGUUCAAUAAGAGAACUUAGAUGCUAAACCCAAACAACCUUUAAACACUAUUAUACCCUUAAACCAAAUAUAGGUUGUUUGGUAGGUUAAGCUGUUGCAGGAAAACUUGGAGAUAAAUGUGGAUUCCAUGUGUGCUAAAUUUUGUGUGGAUUGUCUGAGACUAAUAGGAUGAAAAUUGGGCGAAAACUUUAAGUUAGAUGUCGAUUUUCGAGAAUAGGUGUUUAAUAAGGGGCAUUGCACUAAUCAUUGCAUAAAAAAAAAGAUCCCAAUGAGGACAACUUUAAUAAUCUCAUUGUGAAUCGUCUCUUCGUAGCCUUUAUGACUCGAGUAAUUAAGCCUGUAAGGGUUUAAAACCUAGUGCCCUAAAGUCGUCUGAUUUGGGAGUUAUCGACCUAAAGCUCGUUACAAUGGUCAUUUAGAAAGCUUGAGGGAGUGACGUCCACACAAAGGGUGUUUAAAGAAUACAUACGUGUGUGUGUGUGUAUAUAUAUAUAUAUAUGUAUAUAUAUAUAUAUAUAUGUCACAUACUUUGACUAAAUCCCGAACACUUGUUUUAGAGGAUUAAACCUUUGACGAGAGGUUAGUAACUUAGUUGAUUCCUAGAGGUUGAAGCAGUCAAAAAUAAGGAGAAUCCUCAUUUGUUGAUAGGUUGAACUGCAAUAGUGAAAUCUAAUCAAACUUGAGCGAUGUAAGAAAUUAGCAUUGAAAAAAAAAAUCAACUUUAGAAUACACCUUGGAAAGAGAAAAGAAAACAAGUUUGGGGGUGUGUGAAUCCCACGAGCGAGGCGAGGAAAUAUUUUACUUUUAAGGUCAGAAAUUGGGCCAAUUUAUUAUUGUACAGCGUUAUGCUUAACUCUCCACACACACACCCGUUUGCAUUGAAUGAGCGAGGAUUUGACGCCUGCAUUAUAGUUUUGAAGUACUUCAUGAAUUUGAUGAUGUUAAUCUUGAGCAAUAAAUGCAAGGUGUCUAACAUAAAGUUUCUUUUGAGUGACUUUGUCUGUCUUAGUUGUGUUUUUUGUGCUCGUUAAUAAUUAUCUUUAGUAUUGUGUUUGCUCGAGGACAAGCAAAGAACUAAGUUUGGGGGUGUUUGAUGAGUGUAAUUCACUCAUUAAACUAAAGUUUCUAAAUCAUGUUUUUGAUGUGUUCUUCAGCAUUUUUGAACGUUUUGAUGUGUGUGUGUUAGUGUUGUUUUGCAGUUUGGACAACUCUCGAGAAAAUACCACUAUUGGGAGUCGGUGAUGAGCAAAAAUGAUGAUCAAUGAAAUGGAGCAUGAAUAAGCAAGUAUUGAAUAAGAUUGGAGUAGAAAAUAGGCUUGGAAAAACAAGGAGAAGAGAAGCAAAGCAAUGACAUUGGCGCCAUGGUGCCCAAUGAAUGAAAAAAAAUGAGCAGAAACUUGGGCGCCAUGGCGCCUGUUCCCAAAACGUUAAAAUCCGAGUUUUUAAGUAUCUUUUCGGCCCAAAAAUCAUACCCUAACCCUUGAGGACCCUUAGAAAAUAUAAAUACCUAGAUGAAGAACAAGAGAAGGGUUUUAGACGGCUGAAGAGGCAAGAAAAAAGAGAGGCACCAAUUGAAGGAAGAUCCACCCGAUUUUGGAGAAGAAGAAGGGAGAAACUGAAAAAUCAAGCAACAAAAUUGAGAAAUAGAGCGGCAACCUGAGUUUUUCUUAUCUUUCUCUUCUCCAUGCGAUUUAAUUUGUAUUUUAUCAUGUUCUUCUUCUCAAUCAUGAACUAAGUUAUUAAAUCUAGGAUUUGAUGUAACCUAUUUGAGACAUGAUUCAAUUUCUUUAUAGUAUUUCCAUUUAAUUUUUCAGAAUUGAUUUGUAUUGUUCUUGCUUAAUGCUUUCAGUUGCCUGAUCACCAAUUGAAUGAAUUGAUGUUCUAAAUUCGAUGCUCGAGAGAGGGAAAUUUAGGUGUGAUCUAAGAACAAUAUAACCUAGGUUUGUAGGUUUCGAGAGAAAGUACGAAUCUUUGAGGAUAAAACAAGAACCAAGUGCGUGAUAAUCUUUAUAUAUUUAAUUCGGAAUAGAGAUAUUGGGGUUAAAAUAUAGAGAUAGGUUCUAUUUGACGCUCGAGAGGGGGAAAUAGAAUUAAUUUAGGAUUCUUGCCUAUGAAUUCGGGAAAUAGUUGAUGGAAAUAUCUAUAGGGAUUGAGAAUUAUGUCGAGAAUACGGUGAAAUCAUUCCCUAGACAUUACGUAAGUUUGAUUUAGUUUUUAGAAAUUGCCUCACUUUUAUUGCACUAUUUAAUUCAUUGACGUUAGUUUAGUAUUCAAACAUUAAUUUGACGCUCGAUUGUCUAGAUAAAGUAAACGCGGACACAAUUAUAGUACUCAGUGAAAGUCGAAUAUCAAUCCCUGUGGGUUCGACACUUUUCAAUUCUUUAAUAUACUACAAAACUUGACACCGUACGCUUGCGGUAUAAAAUCACGUUAUAUAAAUCGCGUGGCAGAGAUCUUAUAAAAAGGCCAUUUACAGUCCUCGGGAACACGCUAUAGGUCGGUACAAUUACGUCGUCAUGCAUGCUCAAGCUCAAUACAUGAUUUUACAAAUUGAGUCCUCGGGAUAACUUUUCUACAUGCUCGAGUUCAACACUUAAUGUUCAAAAAUGAUUUUACAAAUUGAGUCCUCGGGAUAACUUGUCUACAUGCUCGAGUUUUCAACACUAAAUGUUCAAAAAUGAUUUUACAAAUUGAGUCCUCGAGAUAUUUAAUUAAUCUAGGCGACGCAUUGUCAAUUCACCCUAGACGUCGAGAUAUUUAAUUAAUCUAGGCGUCGAGUUGUCAAUUCAUCUUAGGCGUCAAGUUAUUGAACCAUCUUAACGUCGAGCUAUUUGAGUUUGUCAUGAUCGAGACAUCAGCCAUACAUAAUCGUGCAAAAUGAAAAAUACUUGAUCAAGCAAAAUACCAUAAAUGGAACAUUAUCUAAGAUCGAGCAGAAUACUUGUUCAAAAUACAAAAAAGGGGGAUGUCAUCAUGAGAAAAAAACAUAAACUAAUCUAGGUCCUCGACUCUUUCUCCCGAGGCCGUGCUCCCCUACUCUUUCGCCGCGUCCUCACCGUCAAUAUCGACCUCAUGGUCCUCGACGGUUUCCUCGGACUCUGAAAGCUCGAGGUUAUCAGCAACCUCAGGGAUGCUCUUUAAGUCCUCGGGUUUUGCGUCAGGCUUCGACCUCAAAAAUGCCCGAGCCUCUUUGAAAGCGUGGAAGUACGAGCCCAUGGCGUACUCUCCCUUAAGCCCGUUGAACUCCUCGGACAUUUUGAAAUCCUCGAUCGCAACCCCUCGAGCUUCAGCCAGGCGAGUUUCGAAAUCAAUCUUCAAAUGCUCGAUCUGGAGCUUUAAAUCCUCAGCCUCGCCCUUGGCAGCUCGAGCCUCUUCCCGAGCUCUCUUGACGUUGUUCUUCGAGUCCUCGAACUCCCUCUGGAGAAGGAAGCGCUCAGCUUCCAAGUCGGCCAUCCUCUUCUCAUGUGCUCGAGAAGUGUCCUCGAGCUCAGUAGUUUUUUGUGCCUCAUCUUUCCCCUUGAGAGAAAGGCCUCGGACAAUGCUCAGAGCCUGCAUCAUAUAAACCCGAGUUUAAAGCAAUCACAUCGUAUAACCCCAUAAAUUACACCAAGUAAGUUGAGCGAGCUUACCUUCAGAGUGAGAGAUUCAAGAGCCUUCAUACCCUCAUCAAAAUCGAGGUCCUUUCGAUACUUGUCCACGAUGCUGGACACCAGUCAGGAUCUUGAUUUUGGAACGAGGGCAUAGGUGGGACCUCAUCCUCGAGGUCAACAACCUCGGGGGUACGCCUUGGCCGAGGACGUGACCGAGGUGGGGUAGUUGGAGUCUCAUUGGCCUGUAUUGUUGGGGAUUGUCCCCGGGCAGAAAGUUCCUUUGGCCCACUCCUAAUAUUCUCGAGGCCUGACUCUCGAGCUCUCUUCUUCCCUCUCUUUUGACCUGGAGCUCGAGCUUGAGGGGCCUUCGACUUUUUGGUCACGGUCUGUUUGAGGGCUGAAGGAUCAAAAGUCAUCUCUGCAAAAAACAAGUCAUUGACAUGAGCACAAUUAUACAUUCAAAGACAGAUCAGUAAGGAAAAAGGCAAAAAGAUUAUCCCUACCCUCAGUGCCUUUCACAUCCGCGAGAUCGAGAAUAUCAUCCCCGAGGAUGUCAUCUAUAUCAUAUACAAGAGGCUCGAGGUUCUCAACAUCAUCCUAUGCCUUUCUAAAGACUCAAAAUAGGCCUGACCUUCACAAAACCUGGGAGUAUCGGGCAAAACCCACCUAGGACUAAAAGGAAGGUCACUAUCCUGAGGUGCGACAUAAAACCACUUUUCUUUCCAUCCUUUCAGUGAACUGGGCAUCCUCGGUAAUUUGAAGCCUCCUUGGGAUGAAAGGUAAGCGAAACAGGUAUAUUGAGGUAACUGUUUCAGGUCGAAGACCAUUCUACAGAGAUCGACGUAUGGGUUAAUUCCUAGGUACCUACAGGCUAUAAAAAAAUAGGUGAGCAUCCUCCACCCAUUUGGCACAAGCUGUCCAGGGCUCAUGUUAUGCUCGACCAAUAAAGACACAAAAAAGGAAUGCAGAGGCCAUCUAAAUCCCCCCUUUAGUGAGUCCCUAAAAAUCACGAACUCUCCAUCCCGAGCAAAGGCCAUCCUAUCCUCUACCCCUGACGUCCUAAUAUCACAUUUUGGCAUGAGCCCAUGCUCCCUAGCCGUCGACAUUGCUAGAUGCUCUUUAAAUUUACAAGGAACCUCGGGGUACCUAAAGGGGGUCGGGAUACUUUGUGCUCGAGCAUCCUAUGUCCUCGGGAGUACUGCUCGAGGAGGAGGACUAAGACUCAGUACUACUACUGCUAGACAUCCUGACCUAGGUAAAAAAGUGCCUAAAGAAUAACUUAAAAACUCGAGGUCUUACCUUAAAGUCGACGCUUAAAAGCUCAAAGUUCUGAUCCCAACGAUUAGCAGGAGAAGUUUACUGAGAGUAAAAAGUGAAAAAUGAAAUGUGGAGAGGGUAUUUAUAGGCAACAGGNGAUUGACUUCAUUGAUUCUGCUGUGAGAGAUGAGAAAUUAUGUAUUGAAGAUCCUCUAGAGCAAUGUAUGAUGUUUAGUACAACAAAGGAUGAUAUUAGCACUUUUGGAGAGUACAUCGGGAGCAAGGAUUUGGUUGAUUACAUAUUGGCUCUUGAGUCUACAUCAGUUGUGGAAAACCCAUCACAAUGUGAGGAUAUUCAACAGUCAAAGGAAGCAGAUGACAAAGAAAGCAAUGAAAGCAGUAAGAUUGAACUGAAGCAACUACCAGAUCACCUUCGCUAUGCAUUCCUGGGGGAUAAGUCUGCAUUUCCAGUAAUUAUUUCUUCAUCACUCACCAUAGACGAAGAGGAUAGAUUAUUGAAAGUGUUGAGGGAUCAUAAGGCCUCUUUGGGAUGGUCGAUAACUGACAUCAAUGGGAUAAGUCCUACAAUCUGCAUGCAUAAAAUCCUCAAGGAAGUCUUUCAAGCCAUCCAUCGAACAUCAAAGAAGGUUAAACCCAGCAAUGAAAGAAGUGGUUCAAGCGGAGAUUCUAAAGCUAUUGAAGGCAGGAAUCAUUUUUUCCAUUUCAGACAGUGAAUGGGUCAGCCCAGUGCAAGUGGUACCGAAGAAAGGAGGGAUGACAGUAGUUAAGAACGACAGCAAUGAGCUAAUUCCAACAAGAACAGUAACUGGCUGGAGGGUGUGCAUUGAUUACAGGAAACUGAACAAGGCAACUAGAAAGGACCAUUUCCCACUGUCGUUCAUAGAUCAAAUGUUGGACAGAUUAGCUGGCUACUCUCACUAUUGCUUUCUUGAUGGAUAUUCGGGCUACAACCAGAUUGCUAUAGCACCAGAAGAUCAGGAAAAGACAACCUUCACCUGUCCAUAUGGAACUUUUGCUUACAGACGGAUGCCAUUCGGGUUACGCAAUGCACCAGCCACUUUUCAGAUAUGCAUGAUGGCAAUCUUUGCAGACAUGAUUGAAGACAUCAUGGAGGUAUUUAUGGAUGACUUCUCGGUGUUCGGUACUUCAUUUAAUAACUACCUUCAUAAUGUCUCUUUAGUGCCGCAACGCUGUGAGGAAAGGAAUUUAGUUCUCAAUUGGGAAAAGUGUCACUUCAUGGUACAAGAAGGUAUUGUGCUAGGCUAUCAUGUUUCGGCGAGGGGAUUGGAAGUGGACAGAGCAAAAAUUGAUACAAUUGAAAAGCUACCACCACCCACCAAUGCCAAAGGCAUUCGAAGUUUCCUAGGGCACGCUGGAUUCUAUAGGAGAUUCAUCAAAGAAUUCUCAAAAGUGGCAAAACCCCUAUGUAACCUUUUGGAGAAGGACACAACGUUCGUAUUUGAUGAAUACUGCUUACGGGCUUUUGAAACCAUAAAGGCAAAAUUAGUCACUGCCCCAGUGAUGGUAGUACCAGAUUGGGAUCAGCCAUUUGAGGUUAUGUGUGAUGCUAGUGAUUACGCAGUAGGGGCAGUUUUAAGACAAAGGCAUGAUAAGAUUUUUCGGGAUCCACUAUGCUAGCAAAAUUCUUAAUGGAGCUCAACUAAAUUACACAACAAUAGAGGAGGAAAUGCUAGCAGUAGUGUUUGCAUGUGACAAAUUCAGAUCUUACCUCAUUGGCACCAAAGUGAUAAUUUACACGGACCAUGCUGCAAUCCGUUAUCUCUUUCAAAAGAAGGAUGCCAAGCAACGCCUAAUUCGAUGGAUACUGCUACUACAGGAAUUUGAUGUAGAGAUUCGGGAUAAGAAAGGCAGCGAGAAUGUCGUUGCAGACCAUCUCUCACGAUUGGAGAAUGAAAAGGUGGUGGAUGACAGUCAAAUUCGAGAAACGUUCCUCGACGAGAUCUUGCUAGCUGUAUCAACAAAGAUCCCAUGGUAUGGUGAUUUUGUUAACUAUUUAGUGUCUGGAAGGUUGCCACUUGACUUGACCUUUCAUCAAAAGAAGAAAUUCCUACAUGAUGUCAAGUCAUUUCUGUGGGAUGAUCCAAUCUUGUUCAAAAGGUGUGCUGAUAGAAUAAUUAGGCGGUGUGUCCCUGUGGAAGAAACGCGAUCAAUCAUGCAGCAUUGCCAUUCCUCACCCUAUGGAGGUCAUUUCGGUCCUACACGUAAUGCUGCAAAGGUAUUGCAAUCUAGUUUCUAUUGGCCAAAUUUGUUCAAAGACUACUAUGUUUUUGUGAAAACAUGUAACCUCUGUCAACGCACUGGAAACAUUUCAAGACAUCAUGAGCUACCAUUAACCAGUAUGCUUGAGGUGGAAUUAUUUGAUGUGUGGGGUAUUGAUUUCAUAGGUCCAUUUCCACCUUCCUUUGGUCAAGAGCAUAUUCUUCUCGCAGUAGAUUAUGUGUCUAAGUGGGUUGAAGCCAUUGCCACACCAACAAAUGAUGCAAAGGUGGUGUUGAAAUAUUUAUAGAAAAACAUCUUCACUCGGUUUGGCACGCCUAGAGCAAUCGUAAGUGACGGAGGUACACAAUUCUGUAACAAGCUUUUCAAUUCUCUUCUAGCUAAGUAUGAUGUCAAGCACAAGUUGGCAUUGAGUUAUCAUCCACAGUCAAAUGGGCAAGCAGAGGUGUCUAACAGAGAGAUUAAACAGAUUCUAGAAAAGACAGUGGAUACCAAUCAGAAGGACUGGUCUCUCAAACUAGAUGACGCUCUUUGGGCAUACCGAACAGCAUUUAAAACUCCAAUUGGAAUGUCACCCUACCGUCUGGUAUUCGGGAAAGCUUGUCAUCUACCGGUAGAAUUGGAGCAUCGAGCUUAUUGGAUUGUGAAGAAAUUGAAUUUAGAUAUGAAAUUGGCGGGUCCACAACGCUUGUUGCAGCUUGAUGAGUUGGAGGAAUUCCGGAACGAUGCAUAUGAAAAUGCAAAGAUAUAUAAAGAACGGACAAAGAUGUGGCAUGGCAAGAGAAUACUAAGGAGGGAUUCUAAGGCAGGAGAACCGGUUCUUCUAUUCAAUUCUUGCUUGAAACUCUUUCCCGGUAAGCUCAAAUUCCGGUGUUCAGGACCAUUUGUAAUCCGCAAGGUGUUCCCUUAUGGUGCAAUGGAAUUAGUAGGCAAGGAUGGGUCUACCUUUCAGGCAAAUGGGCAACGCCUCAAACAUUACUAUGGAGAGAAAAACUGGGAUGUGGAAGAAAUUACCCUUGAUGAAGCAACUUGAAACCACAUCUACGUCCAGCUAAAGACGUAAAAGAAGCACUUAUUGGCAGGCAAUCAAGUUCUAUUCCUUAAGUUUCUUUUCAUUAUUUUGACAUGUUUUUUUCCUCUUACGCCAAUUUGAUAAGUUCGUUUUUUUUUUAUUUAUUUUGUAGGUCAUGCUCAAAAUGGUUGCAUCAACACUCUAAUCAAUAUAGGAAAGGAAUAGGUAGGAAGUAAAUAAUAAAAAAAAAAAUUCAGUAACAUGGGCGCCACGGCGCCCAACACGUUUUUAUCCUUAAAACAACAACACAAUCUUUUUCUUUUCAUUUCCCUACCCACAAAAUCCUUAUACUCUUCUUUCCUUUCAAAUCUCCUCCUCUUUUCCCCACACUUGCACACACCAAUUCUCUCAUACUACCCCAUAUUUAUAAGUUAUUACAUCUAUAACAACCCAUAUCUUAGAAGUGAAAAGCUAGUGACUAGUUCAUCAAAGAAGGUACAUUCCUUUACAAUGCAGAGUUUUUUUUUUUUUGGUAGUGUAAUUUGAACUUCUUUUGGUAAUUUUGUUUAGGACUAUGUCACAAUAUCAUUUGUCUUUGUUGGGUUGUGUUUUGGUAAAGCUUGUGUGGGCCUUUGUUUUAUCUUCAAAAUUAUUUUGUUAUAUGCCUACCAUGUGUUUGUUCUUUUUCCUCUUUGACAUUCUUUGCCAAUGUUGGAAUCUAUGUUAGAAGACUUUGCAAUUUCCUAUGGGCUUGAACUUUCCUAACUACUAAUAUAUUGUCUUGCUCACAGAGUGUUUGAUAAAUGUCACCAAAGACGUCUUUUGUACGAUUCUUGGGAUAGUUUUGAUGGCUUGCAUUCAACUUUGUACUUGUUUAUUAUAGCCGCCUACCACACGUUUGAUACUUUGUUUCACUAAGAUUUUCGUGCCUACUUGGGACUCACUUCAUUUUCUAAGACAAAAGCUUUUAAUUGAUUCAGGUGGACGGUUAACUUCGGUUGAUUUUGUGCAAGAACACUUC
rnacentral:lncRNA from 1 species